CCUACGGGAGGCAGCAGUGAGGAAUAUUGGUCAAUGGACGAGAGUCUGAACCAGCCAAGUAGCGUGAAGGAUGACUGCCCUAUGGGUUGUAAACUUCUUUUAUAUGGGAAUAAAAUGUUCCACGUGUGGGAUUUUGUAUGUACCAUAUGAAUAAGGAUCGGCUAACUCCGUGCCAGCAGCCGCGGUAAUACGGAGGAUCCGAGCGUUAUCCGGAUUUAUUGGGUUUAAAGGGAGCGUAGGUGGAUUGUUAAGUCAGUUGUGAAAGUUUGCGGCUCAACCGGAAAAUUGCAGUUGAAACUGGCAGUCUUGAGUACAGUAGAGGUGGGCGGAAUUCGAUGUGUAGCGGUGAAAUGCUUAGAUAUCACGAAGAACUCCGAUUGCGAAGGCAGUUCACUGGACUGCAACUGACACUGAGGCUCGAAAGUGUGGGUAUCAAACAGGAUUAGAUACCCUUGUAGUC
rnacentral:rRNA from 1 species